AAUUACUGAAAUAUACGCCUUAAUGUUUUCGAAUUAAGAUUUAUUAUUGUACGAUAAUCGUUCCUAUGAUAAAGGACUAUUUUAUUUACAUUGCAUUGACAUUCAUUUUGAUACUUUGAUUUGAUAACAUGAAUGUUUGAAAAGUUCACAUUGUAUUGGUGUAAAAUAGCAAAGAAUUAUAGGUAAUCGACAAUCAGAGGGACAAAGUUCCAUUUCAAGGUUGUAUUUCUAGUAUUAUUGUUGGUUUCGCGAAUUCUUUGCAAAUAAAACGCUAGUUACUUGUGGCUGUUGUAUAAAACAGUAAAAUACACCUUGCAAGAUACAAGACGUGGGUAACGCACUUGUGUUAUAGUAGUAAAGUAACAAGAUGCCGCAGAUUACACAAAACAAUUUUCAAUAGCCUAAUGUUGAAGGCUAAGAGCGCAAACGAAUUAGAAGGAUACAAGAUAUCGUCGGACAUCUGAGCAAAGUGUUGAAUACUCACCAUAUAAAAGUUCGUUCCAUCCUAGAGUACAACCCUCAAGGUAAUUAGUAAGUUAUAAAUGAUUUUACUACGUUUGCGAAACUGAACACAACGUACUGAUUAAAAAAUGUGUGACAGAUGUAUCUCCAGAACGACUAAAUCUCGAUGUUUGGCAUAGAUGUAGAACAGAAUCUGGAAAGGCUGUAAAUGGCUAUAUACGUAUAUAAACAUCUGGUAAUGUUUAUUUUUGAAUUCCUUAAAAAAUGUAAGCGCACAAACUGUACCAUAUUUAUAUAAUGUACUUAAUU